rnacentral:lncRNA from 1 species
ACCCCCUGAGAAAUGUUCCCCCACCUAAGUCUUGAGGUGGAGUUCAACUUCCUAAAAGUUCUAAGUGCAGGCAACCCAACCUGAGUCCCCCAGGCCAGGGCCCUCCUGAGCCACACCUUGCUGCAUGAUCUCCACAAUCUGUACCACCUUGUCCAUGUGCUUCCGAGCAGCAAUCAGCCCUUGCAGCAUGAGCAUCUUGUAGUAGUUGAACAUAUCACCGUUCAGGCCACCCAUUACCUGGAAGCAAGGAGAGUGUCUGUGUGCACAGAGAAAUUCUGGUGGGUCCUUUCUGUAGGCCUCAGAGCUUCCUCUCUUAAGGUAAUCAUGGUAAAUUUCCUUAUCACUAUCUCCACAUUUUCUUUCAUAAGCUCCCAGGCAAUCCUGCCUCGUCUUGACUUAUUGCCAUUUCUGUUCUGUUCCUAAUUUGGGGGAGUCCAUCAGCUCCUCUCAGAGGAAGAACACAGUUACCCUUGGAAGCACCUCUCUUUUUUGACUCACAUCCACAAAUUCUGUGGUCAGCUUAAAGGCUGAUGUCUCGAAGCCCAGGUUUCGGGGUGAGCUGGAAAGGAUGAAGCCAAAGUCGAUGUGGAUGAUGUGACCUUCUGCGUCCAGAAGGAUGUUCCCGUUGUGCCUGAGGAAGAGGCAACGUGACAUUUUGGAUAAGUUUUUAAAAAUGUAUUUAUAUUUCACCUUUUAAAACUCAGAACAUAACAAAUUCCACUUACUGGACAUUCAUACUAUUAGAAAUCCCUGAAGUACGUUUAAUAAAAAGAGGAAGUAAUCGAGCAAGGAGAGCUGUGACUGUUUCUUCACCUGGUGGAUGGACACAGCGUUGACUACUGGUUCAAUCAUGCCACUGUCAGCUGAAAUCACAAGAAUCUUAUAUGGCUUGAUCCAAAGAGGCACUCGCUCCUGUUCCCAAAUGGACUGUGAAGAGACACAAAGGUAUUGAGAGUGGCUCAUCUUUCUCCAAA